rnacentral:rRNA from 1 species
CACGUAGGCACCAAGCGUUGUCCGGAUUUAUUGGGCGUAAAGAGCUCGUAGGCGGUUCGGUUAGUCGGGUGUGAAAACUUUGGGCUCAACCCAAAGCGUGCACUCGAUACUGCCGUGACUAGAGUUCGGUAGGGGAGUGGGGAAUUCCUAGUGUAGCGGUGAAAUGCGCAGAUAUUAGGAGGAACACCGGUGGCGAAGGCGGCUCACUGGUCCGGUACUGACGCUGAGGUGCGAAAGCGUGGGGAGCAAACAGG